UUUGAGUCGAAGCCUCUAGUUUUUCAGGAAGUACAUCCAUAUGUCUGUUGUUUCUGAUAUGUCUAUUGCUUUGAAUGAGACAACUCAAACAUCAGUUUGUUGCAGUACAAUGCAGGACUAUUUCUUGAAUCAUUUUCAAUUGAACUUCUUGUCCUGGCUAUAUGGAAGAAAGCUCUUCUGAUCUGUGGCUCUUGGAUAACCUCUGCUCCGGACAACGAAUCUCAUGGAAGCAGUUCAGCUAAUCAACCUACUAUCAAUGUUUGGGGUAAUGCAGAUUCGGGUCCAAAUCCAGACUAUACUGUUGGUUUAAACACGCCUUCAUCUGCUUGCAUCUGGGCGGAGCAAGGCUUUAUUGUUGCAUGUGAUCGUACCGAGAAGUUACAAUGUCAUCUUCAAGACAUGGAUGCUACAGGUGAGAUGCCUGAUGCCAUGGAAAUAAUAUAUCAGACAGCACUCACUAUAGGGAGAAACGGUUCUGUGGACGAGUAUAUGCGAAACAAAGGUAGUGCAGCAGCAUAGUAAUCGAAAACAAUGCUUUUGCUUUCGUUUAUUGUAGGAGAGGCGGAGAGUGUUCCCUUGAACCCACCAUUUUCAUUGACUCCUGCCAAUAAGAAGCGAAUUCAGACCUACAUUAAAAACUUACAGACUCGUCAGUCUCAGUUUCUAACAUCAGCACCAUUCCCUAAGCUGUCUGCAGACUUCCACACCAAGUGAAGAGCUCUGCUUGUAAAGAAAAAAUAGCAAAUACUGGCAGUCUGGAGCAAAUGAUCUUACAUUGCAUAGGAGUUGAUGUAAAUAAUAUCAUAUUCUUUUUCUUGAGAUACUGUAAAUUGGAACUGAGAUGUAACCUGUGAUGUAAUGUUAGCUAUACAUAGAGAGAAGUCUUUCAAUUAUUA